CAAGUUGACAAUCAAACAAUAUUUUAAGGAAAAAAUCUCUCAUAAAGAGAAAUUGACAACAGAGUCCACAGAUAUUUUAAUUGGAAUACCAAACCCAAUCGGUAUAAUACGGUUAUACUCCAGCAAAAAUAGCACCAUAAGCAACAAAAAUGGCGGCAAUAUUCUCCAGCAAUCUUUACACUAUCACCUACAAUUCUCGUUGCUACAAUCAUCAUCACAAUCAAAGAAGAUUUCACAUUUCCUGUGCAAAUUCUUCUGUCUUUUCUCUACAUAAUCGUCGAAGAAGAUGCGCAUGUCAAGCUUCACCAAAGCCUAGCAAUUACGAUUUUGAAUCAGAAGAACAACGAUGGCUUCGUGAAGAAAAACGAUGGCUUCGCGAAGAACAACGAUGGCUUCGUGAAGAAGAUCGUUGGAAUAACGAACGACAAUCUCUUUUACGUCAAAUUUCUGAAUUAUCUCUUCAAAUUCAGCAUUUACAGUCAGAAUUAGAUAGUAUUCGCACAACUCGAAGCAAUUCUGGUGAUUUUGAUGCUGAUUUUGAGGUAACCCUAAGUAAAAUAGCGGCGUUUUUGCAAGAUAAGAAAUUUAAUCAGAUUUCGGAUUCUUUUAUUAGUAAGUCGAAUUCGGAGUUAGAUAUAGCAAGUGUGGAUUCUUCUGUUGGUUUUUCUUCGGCAAGUUCAGUGGAGAGCGAGGAGGAAGAGGAAAAACCGCCAUUAAAGAAGACCAUUUCGAGCUUGAGAGUUGGAGCGGAAGGAGAUGAAGUUCGUGUUUUGCAGGAAGCAUUAAUGAAUUUGGGGUUUUACUGUGGAGAAGAGGAUAUGGAGUUUUCUAGUAUUUCCAGUGGUACUGAGAGAGCUGUUAAGACUUGGCAAGCGACUAUAGGCGUUCGCGAAGAUGGGAUUAUGACUGUUGAGCUUCUUGAACAAUUGUAUUCUUCUGACAAAAAGAGUUCAAAUGCUUCAGGAUCAUCUGGAAAUGUUGAAAUUCCAAAAGAUGGAUCAAAUGGAGCUCCUAUUGAUGUCAAGGAAGUUCAGCGGACAGUUUUGCGUAGAGAGCCAGCUGAUAUGGAUAUAUCCCAACACAGAGUAUUUCUUCUUGGUGAAAAUAGGUGGGAGGAACCUUCCAGGCUAAAUAAAGGAAAUGAUAAAUUGGGUAGCGGAGGCAAGGCUCAAGCCUCUGCGCCAAAAUGCAUUGUAUGUAGAGGAGAGGGUCGUCUACUGUGCAUGGAGUGUGAUGGAAGUGGGGAACCUAAUAUUGAAGAACAGUUCAUGGAUUGGGUGGAAGAAGGAGCAAAAUGCCCAUAUUGUGAAGGCCUUGGAUACACUGUCUGUGACGUAUGCGAGGGAAAAGGGGCUGCCAAGGUAUAGUCUUGAACAUAAUUUUUGAUCCCUCGCUGACUUGGUGGUUUGUCUAAGCAGGUACACAAUUUUUUGAUUAUUUGAAGCUUGAAGUCCUGAUGCUUCCAAAAUUUCAGUCUUAUAUUAAUUGUAGCUGGACCAACAUCAGGACAACAUAAAUAUCUGUAUAAUCUAUACAAAAAGGUUCUUUUGUAAUAUACUCUUAUCAAGUUCAGAUCAUUUUUCGGUCCCGUUCUUCCUCAACAUAGGGUCAUGGAGAAAUGGGCAAAAUCGUUCUUUUGUAUUCCUAGUUUCGGUUGCAGUGCUCAACCGACUUAACUUAGAGCGCUUUUUUUUAAGUAGCGCGUAUACUAUUGACUGUUCAUGAACUCAUGAGUAUUGCAUGCAUGAUCUGUGCUUUUUGUAAGAUAUUACACUAAGGGAUAAUAAGGAUAUAAUAUGUGAGUGCGGAAGAUUAUAGUA